UAACAGUGUGUGUCUGUGAAUAUCAAAUUUAAAACUUAUAAAUAGCCAGUAUUUCAGGAAAACUCUUUAUAAGUAAGCAACAUGAU